rnacentral:rRNA from 1 species
UACGUAGGGGUCAGCAGUCGUUCGGUUCGAUUUGGUGGCGUAAAGAGCGUGUAGGCGGCUUGGUAGGUCCGCUGUGAAAACUCGAGGCUCAACCUCGAGAUGUCGGCGGAAACCACUUGGCUAGAGUACGAGAGAGGUGAGUGGAAUUCCCAGUGUAGAGGUGAAAUUCGUAGAUAUUGGGAAGAACACCGGUGGCGAAGGCGGCUCACUGGCUCGUAACUGACGCUCAUGCACGACAGCGUGGGGGAUCAAACAGG